UGGGUCCAGAUUAUUGCCACAUGUCGUCAUCUGGUGAGUCCUCGAUUUGACUGCUUUCAUCUCGUCUGUUAGAGGAUCCUAUAUAUAAAGGGUCGCCUUCAACUAAAUUUUUAUUUUCCAUUUUGUCUUUUCUGGUGUGAAAACUCUGCCGGACGGUCACCUCAGCAUUCCCAUCCUUUCCAGAUUUAGUUGUCUGUCCUAAAGAUGGC
rnacentral:lncRNA from 1 species